UUCGUUCUAUCUCUCUCAAACUCGUUUUUUUUUUGCGUCCUCUCUCAAACUCGAUUAGAAAGUAGAAACCCUCACAAGCAGAUCCGAUUUGUUUGUCUCUUUUUCACUCUCGAUCCCUCUCAGUCUGAAUUCCCCUCAGUCUCAAUCCCUCUCAGUCUUGAUUUUCAGUUUCAUCCAUCUACAAAGCCCCUCUUAAUCGUCACAUGCAUCGAUCCAAAUCAAAUUGGUGAGGUCAAAAUUAAGAAUUAACACAGAAGGAAGAUUACCCUUUGUCUCUUCUAUCAUUCUCGAUCUAGAACAAAAACUAGAUUUGAUGGUUGCUGGCUUUCGUCAACUCAGAUGCAAUACUACUUAUGAGAGAA